rnacentral:rRNA from 1 species
UUCCGGUUGAUCCUGCCGGACCUGACUGCUAUCGGAUUGAUACUAAGCCAUGCGAGUCAUUGUAGUAAUACAAGGCAGACGGCUCAGUAACGCGUAGUCAACCUACCCUAUGGACGGGGAUAACCUCGGGAAACUGAGAAUAAUACCCGAUAGAACAUUAUACCUGGAAUGGUUUAUGUUUCAAAUAAUUUAUUGCCGUAGGAUGGGACUGCGGCCUAUCAGUUUGUUGGUGAGGUAAUGGCCCACCAAGACUAUUACAGGUACGGGCUCUGAGAGGAGUAGCCCGGAGAUGGGUACUGAGACACGGACCCAGGCCCUAUGGGGCGCAGCAGGCGAGAAAACUUUGCAAUGUGCGAAAGCACGACAAGGUUAAUCCGAGUGGUUUCUGCUAAAGGAACCUUUUGUCAGUCCUAGAAACACUGGUGAAUAAGGGGUGGGCAAGUUCUGGUGUCAGCCGCCGCGGUAAAACCAGCACCUCAAGUGGUCGGGAUGAUUAUUGGGCCUAAAGCAUCCGUAGCCUGCUUUGUUAGUUUUCGGUUAAAUCCAUGCGCUCAACGUAUGGACUGCCGGGAAUACUGCAAAGCUAGGGAGUGGGAGAGGUAGACGGUACUCGGUAGGAAGGGGUAAAAUCCUUUGAUCUAUUGAUGACCGCCUGUGGCGAAGGCGGUCUACCAGAACACGUCCGACGGUGAGGGAUGAAAGCUGGGGGAGCAAACCGGAUUAGAUACCCGGGUAGUCCCAGCUGUAAACUAUGCAAACUCGGUGAUGCAUUGGCUUGAUGCCAAUGCAGUGCCGCAGGAAGCCGUUAAGUUUGCCGCCUGGGAAGUACGUACGCAAGUAUGAAACUUAAAGGAAUUGGCGGGGGAGCACACAAGGGUGAAGCCUGCGGUUCAAUUGGAUUCAACGCCGGGA